rnacentral:lncRNA from 1 species
CGCCGCCAUUUUGGGCUGGGAGGAGGCAGCGGAGGGACUCGCUGCGCAGUGAGAGCACCCCGUGGGGGGUGGUCCGGGCGCGGGGAGAGGCCGGGCCGAGUGGGCUACCUGAAGUGGCGGCGCCGGGAGACGGCGGGAAGUGGGACCGGGGGCCAGGGAGGGUGAAGGUUGGAGUCUCCUCGGCCGAGCCCGGUCCUCAAACCGUCCCGGCAGCCCCGCAGCCUCGCCUCUCACAGAGUGCGGGGUUCUUCGGUAAUUACCGCGUGUUUCCCGAGACCCCAGAAGGGGAGAGGCUGGUGAAACGGCUUCCCUCUGCGGUCUUUCCACAGGGGCGCGGAUCCUGAGGCCGAGCUCUGCCAGCUUCCCUCCCCACCCCCAUUCGGCCUGGGUAUGGCGGCGAGGCCCCGCACAGAGGGACUCCCACUUCGACUGGAGAGGUGGGGGCGACGCCAGAUUCCAGAGGCUGGCGCCGCGGGGGAGGGCGGAGGUCGCAGGUCUGGCCACAAGUCGGCGUGGCAGUCAGCUGGAGGCUCCGAGAGCGGAGAUCCCAGUGCACCCACCUUACCUCGCUUACACCAAAGCGCCAUCUCGCCGCCCGGGUUGCGAAAAACCACGACCCUCUUAAACUACUGUAGCAACCACUAAUUCCCCCUGGGAGCAGCUAGAGAGGGGCACUUGGAAACCUUCACGAGCUCGGUGCCUGAAGGUCUCUGAGGCUCUUGCCCUCAAGAUCUCUCCCAUUCAGCCCCGAUUCUCCGGACAACCUGACCUAGCAUGUCGCCAGCCUCUUGGUGAAACGCCUAAAGUGUGCUGCCCCACUUCUCUUGAAAGUUUACACCGAAGGGAUGAGGUUUUGCCCUUUACAGGGUUGGGGCACAAAGUCGGAGUCGCUGCGGCUCCGAAAUAGAAACGGAGUUGCCCAUUUCGUAUGCUUCAUCAACAUCUGCUUGCAUUUUGAAAUCCUAGUCUUAACUUUUACACAACUUUUAGAGAAAUGGCUGCCCUCCUAGAGGGAAAAACGAACUACAGUAAUUCCAAUUCCAAUGUAAUCUUUGUAAGACUACAAAAUCUUUCCAGUUUAAAGAUUUUUCUUUUCCCACAGACUAAACAAAGUCAGAGUAUUUUGUGUUCUACUGGUGCAUUGUUACUAGGUAACCUCAAUUUUUUGAAAUUCCAAGUAAUUGAAGGAUCACUUUUGUAGAUCCUAAAUGCUACCAAAAAAGAAACCAGUUUUUAUCUACUUCAUAUGUAUAGCGUUUAAGAGAUGAGGAGACCUGCUUUGAAAGAAUAAACUCUUAACCUUACAUUAUAGCUGUAGCAGCUUCUUAAAGAUUGAAGUUUGAUGUGAAGUUCUUUUAUUGAAUUGCAGGUUAAACCAUCUUACUUCCUACUGCUUGAAAUCUAAAUCCAGAGAGAUUUGUGGCUCAAGGAUAUCUUCAAAUAAAAGUUUUAUUGCUAAAAUGUCAGUUAAAAUUAUGCCUAGGUAGGUGCUGAAGUAGGAGAGGCUUUGACGUAGCAGAGUGACUGGCAGUGAAUUUUGUGGGUACCUUGUGAUGAGUCUUAUUAUCAGUUACAAAUGGUCAAAACAUGCCUAAGCCUUCAGCCUUACUAAAAGUUUAACAGAACUUGGCCUGGCGCGGUGGCUCACACCUGUAAUCCCAGCCCUUUGGGAGGUGGAGGCGGGUGGAUCACCUGAGGUCAGGAGUUUGAGACCAACCUGGCCAACAUGGUGAAGCCCCUUCUCUACUAAAAAUACAAAAUUAGCCGGGUGUGGAGUUGCGUGCCUGUAAUCCCAGCUACUCGGGAGGCUGAGGCAGGAGAAUCGCUUGAACCCAGGAGGCAGAGUUUGCCAUGAGCCUCUCACCGUUGCACUCCAGCCUGGGUGACAGAGUAAGACUCUGUCUCAAAAAAAAAAAAAAGUUUUCCAGAACUGAAGUUCUGCUCCUCCUAUUAAUAAUUUUUCUUCAGUUGGAGUGACAACUCCAUAGCAUUAACUUUUUUCCCUCUGCUCCCCAGAUGUUUUACAACUGGAUUACAAAAUAGGAUCAUCAUUGACUAGGGUCCUCAAUCCAAAACUGGAACCACUUACUCCUAACUGAAGCUUCAGUACACUUGAUGCCUACUGUGGUUUGAUUUUUUACCUACAUAUGACAUGUUCGCUCUACACUGAUCAAGAGAUGUGAGUUUAAAAAAGCUAACUAACUUGGUAGGACUUAAAUAGUCAUAGGAACAGAAAAGGCUUUUAAAGACGAUCUUUGUGGGUCUUCUGUCAAGAAUUUAAUGGAGGAUCCUAGACACUUGGGAUUCAUCCUCCAUUAUGAAGUAAUCUAGUGAAAUUUUUGGAUGCUACUGAGUGGCAAAUACUGUACCAGCAGCAGAAAUUUGUUACUCAUUUGUAAAUGAAACUUACUAUCCUUAAGGUUGACCCACAAGCUUUUCCAUUCUUUGCUAAGAAAAAUUGGGAAUAGGCCGGGCACAGUGGCUCACGCCUGUAAUCCCAGCACUUUGGGAGGCCAAGGCGGGCAGAUCACGAGGUCAAGAGAUUGAGACCGUCCUGGCAGACAUGGUGAAACCCCAUCUCUACUAAAAAUACAAAAAUUAGCUGAGUGUGGUGGUGUGCACCUGUAGUCACAGCUACUUGGGAAGCUGAGGCAGGAGAAUUGCUUGAACCCCGGGGCUGGAGGUUGCAGUGAGCCGAGAUCGUGCCACUGCACUCCAGCCUGGGUGACAGAGCAAGAUUCUGUCUCAAAAAAAAAAAAAGAAAAAAUGGGAAUAAAACCAGCUUAUUAGUGGCCUCCUGGUUAUCUAAGGAAAACACAGGACUGUAGGACUGAAAAUUAGGAACUCCGAGCUCUGUUUCUGUGUGUGCUGCCCUUAACUUGGUUGACUUGGCCAGAGGCCAAAUACUGAUAAUGAGGCCAAACUGGUCAUUUUGCUGCUUAGUCUAUUGUUCAUCUACUGUUCAACCAGACUUUCAACUUCCUUUUCAGCUCUCCCCUCUCAGAUGAGUUGCAUUAUGCUUUUAUGACAAAUUCUACAAACUCUAUAUUCAUUUGAAAAUGGUAUCAGCACUGUCUCCCUCAUAAAUACCUAGAGGAGUAACUAGUCUUAAGUCGCUAUGUAAACACUUACUCCUUGUAACUUUGUUAUAUGAGAACUUCACAAGGAAUGCUUCAAAGAUCAUUGGGGCAGUUGGAAAGCCUGCCUUACCAAAGUGUGGCCUUAGUUGUCCAUAGCAUCACAAAAGAGCCAUCCAAGUAGGCUGAAUGAGGAUCAGUCUCUCAGGGUGCCCACUGGUUGUGGCUGUGAAGUCCUGGACACUCAUUUUGCCUGAUGGCCAAAUCCUAGGGAGCAGUGACUAUGUGUGAGUAGGAUUCGUUGACAGAGGUAGGAGGUUUUUUUUUUGUUUUUUUUUCCUGCUGCCUGUAUAAUUGCAGAAAAGGAGUGAUUCUUUACAGUAAUUCCCCCUCUUCGGGAUGAAGAUGCUUGCUUCUGUUUGGUUUCCACAGUUAAAUCAAUUUUUUUUCCUUUUCUUUUGAGAUGGAAUCUUGCUCUGUCGCCCAGGCUGGAGUGCAGUGGCGCGAUUUCGCCCACUGCAACCUCCACCUCCCAGGUUUAAGCGAUUCUCCUGCCUCAGCCUCCCGCGUAGCUAGGAUUACAGGCACUCACCACCAUGCCUGGCUAAUUUUUGCAUUUUAUUUUUUUCUGGAACGGAGUUUCACCUGGUUGCCAAGGCUGGAGCGCGAUGGUGUGAUCUUGGCUCACCACAACCUCUGCCUCCUGGGUUCAAGCGAUUCUCCUGCCUCAGCCUCCCAAGGAGCUGGGACUAUAGGCAUGCGCCACCAUGCACGGCUAGUUUUGUAUUUUUAGUAGAGAUGGGGUUUCUCCAUGUUGGUCAGGCUGGUCUUGAACUCCCAACCUCAGGUGAUCCUCCCACCUUGGCCUCCCAAAGUGCUGGGAUUACAGUCAGUGAGCCACUGUGCCCGGCCUGUAUUUGUAUUUUUAGUAGAGACAGGGUUUUACCAUGUUGGCCAGGCUGGUCUCCAACUCCUGACCUCAGGUGGUCCGCCCACCUCGGCCUCCCAGUGUGCUAGGAUUGCAGGCGUGAGCUACGGUGCCUGGCCAGUUAAUCAGUUUUUUACCCUCCUGUGUUUAGGCCCCAACAUCCUGUUCUUGAUCUUUUUUGGCAAAAAUUUGGCCAAAGAUUGAAAUUUUGCCUCCUGGACCAUAUAUUUUGCUCCAGUUGCAAAGUAUGACUUUUAUCCUUUGGUCAGCAGUUCCCAUGGUGUUUAGGGCCUGAAUUUGACAUUCUUUUUUUUUUUUCUUUUUGAGAUGGAGUCUAGCUCUGUUGCCCAGGCUGGAGUGCAGUGGCACGAUCUCGGCUUGCCGCAACCUCUGCCUCCCGGCUUCAAGCAGUUCUCCCUGCCUCAGCCUCCCAAAUAUCUGGGAUUACAGGCGCCCACCACCACACCCGGCUAAUUUUUGUAGCUUUUUUUGUUUGUUUGUUUGUUUUUGAGAGUCUCACUCUGUCACCAGACUGGAGUGCAGUGGCGCAGUCUCGGCUCACUGCAACCUCUGCCUCCUGGGUUCAAGCAAUUCUCCUGCCUCAGCUUCCCAAGUAGCUGGGACUACGGGUGGGCACCACCAUGCCUAGCUAAUUUUUUUUCUGUAUUUUUAGUAGAGACGGAGUUUUACCAUAUUGGCCAGGAUGGUCUCGAUCUCUUGACCUUGUGAUGCGCCCGCCUCGGCCUCCCAAAGUGCUGGGAUUACAGGCGUGAGCCACCGUACCUGGCAACAUUCUCUUUUUUUAAAAAAAUAACUUUUUAUUUCUAGCCUCAACCAUUUACACUUUGCUUGAGAAAGAAUAAUAAAGUGGAAUUGUUAUUCCAGUGAUGUUGUGCAAAUGUGAGAAAUAGUACUUCCCCCAAAAAAACAAACCUCGAAACCCCACAAACUCAAGUGUACUUAAGUACUUAACGUUCAAGUACUUUUUAACUAUAACCAACUUUUCCACCACACUGUUGUGAAUAUUUGUUGCUAGCUGUUAUGGGUAUAAGUGAUCAAGGGAAGAACUGAUGCAUUACCUAAUGCUUGACUAAAUAUAGCCAGCCCUUAAGUAGGUAGAGUAUUUGGUUGUGGGUUUUGUUGUUUAAGUCUGUGGAGUCCCUCUUUGGUUUCUUUAACUUUUGCAGUCAUUAGGGCAGAGUAUAUUUAUUUACAUUUCUCCAAGCAAAGUCUUGCUCUGUUGCCCAGGCUGGAGUACGGUGGCGCGAUCUCGGCUCACUACAACCUCUGCCUCCCAGGUUCAAGCAAUUGUCCUGCCUCAGCCUCCCGAGUAGCUGGGAUUACAGAUACCCGCCACGAUGCCUGGCUAAUUUUUGUAUUUUUAAUAGAGACGAGAUUUUGCCAUGUUGGCCAGGCUGGUUUCGAACUUUUGACCUCAAGUGAUCCAUCUGCCUUGGCCUCCCAACGUGCUGGGAUUACAGGCGUGAGCCACCAUGCCUGGCCUAAAUUUACUUUUUAAUAGAGACGAGGCUGGUUAUGUUGCCUGUGUUGGUAACUGUGUUGCCUAGGCUGGUGUCAAGUGCUUGAGCUCAAGUGACCCUCCUGCCUUGGCUUCCCAAAGUGUUAGGAUUACAGGCAUGAAGCCACUGCGCCUGGCCUGUCUAAUCUUUAUUAUGCUUCCCCUCUUUAGAGAUACUUAGUCUGUUUUUCAGAACUAAACCAAUCUGGAACUCCCUGGCUCUCUCUCCUAAAACUCUGAAGUCUAGAGGACCCUGUCUCCUGAGGGCUCUAAGAAAAGCUGUCCAGCUAGCUGUGUCAGUUUGAGAAGCAGUUUUUCCUGAUUGAAUACCUAGGCCCCAGUAGGAAAAAGGGAACAAACUGAAAUUGCUAAUUUGUAAGCCUGGUCUUUUGAGCAGCUCAGUUAAAAUGCUUGACAGAGGACUUAAGUGAAAGGCUAGAGUGGGCUUGGGGUUCAUUUAUCAUCAAAGCCCCCUGUUCAAUGUAGGUAAAUCAGCGGGGUGUGUUGGUAUCCACCUUUAGUCCCAGCUACUCAGGAACCUGAGGUGGGAGGAUCACUCAAGCCCAGGAAUUUGAGGCUGCAGUGAGAUAUGAUAGCGCCACUGCAGUCUAGCUUGGGCAACUGAGGGAGACCCCAUCUUUUUUUUUUUUUUUCAACUUUUUUUUUUUUUUUGAGACAGGGUUUCACUAUGUUACCCAGGCUGGUCUCAAACUACUGAGCUCAAGGAUUCUGCCCACCUUGGCCUUCCAAAGUGCUAGGGUUACAGGUGUGAGUCACCGGGCCUGUUGAAACCCCAAUUCUUUAAAAAAAAAAAAAAAGCUUUUUUUUUUUUUUUUUUUGAGACAGAGUCUUAUUCUGCCACCUAGGCUGGAGUGCAGUGUGGCGUGAUGUUGGCUCACUGCAACCUUUGCCUCCCGGAUUCAAGUGAUUCUCCUGCCUCAGCCUCCCAAGUAGCUGGGAUUACAGGCACCCACCACCAUGCCCAGCUAAUUUUUGUGUUUUUUUGUUGUUGUUUUUGUUUUUGAGACGGAGUCUCGCUCUGUUGCCCAGGCUGGAGUGCAGUGGUGUGAUCUCGGCCCACUGCAAGCUCUGCCUUCCGGGUUCACGCCAUUCUCCUGUCUUAGCCUCCCGAGUAGCUGGGACUAAAGGCGCCCGCCACCACACCCAGCUAAUUUUUUGUAUUUUUAGUAGAGACGGGGUUUCACCAUGUUAGCCAGGAUGGUCUCGAUCUCCUGACCUCGUGAUCCGCCCGCCUUGGCCUCCCAAAGUGCUGGGAUUACAGGCGUGAGCCACCACACCUGGCCAAUUUUUGUAUUUUUAGUAGAGACAGGGUUUCACCAUGUUGGCCAGGCUGGUCUGGAACUCUUGACCUCAGGUGAUCUGCCUGCCUCGGCCUCCCAAAGUGCUGGGAUUACAGGCGUGAGCCACUGCGCCCGGCCUUUUUUUUUUUUUUUUUUUGAGGCUGAGUUUCACUCCUGUUGCCCAGGCCGGAGCACAAUGGGGCGAUCUCGGCUCACUGCAAACUCCGCAUCCCGGGUUCAUGCCAUUCUCCUGCCUCAGCCUCUCAAGUAGCUGGGACUACAGGCACCUGCCACCAUGCUCGGCUAAUUUUGUAUUUUGUAUUUUUAGUAGAGAUGAGGUUUCUCCAUAUUGGUCAGGCUGGUCUCUUAACUCCAGAUCUCAAGAGAUCCACCCACCUCAGCCUCCCAAAGUGCUGAGAUUAUAGGCAUGAACCACCACGCCCGGCCCAACCUUUUUUUUUUUAAAUUAAAAUAUAGGUAACUAAUUGUUUUCUCUGCCAGGAGAGCAAUAUGCUAGUUAAAUGUUUCAAUAGAAAGUGAAGAAAUAGGAGGCCGGGUGUGGUGGCUCACACCCAUCAUCCCAGCACUUUGGGAGGCCGAGGCAGGUGGAUCACGAGGUCAGGAGAUCGAGAUCAUCCUGGCUAACACGGUGAAACCCCGUCUCUACUAAAACUACAAAAAAAAAAUUAGCUGAGCGUGGUGGCGGGUGCCUGUAGUCCCAGCUACUUGAGAGGCUGAGGCAGGAGAAUGGCAUGAACCUGAGAGGCGGAACUUGCAGUGAGCCGAGAUCGCGCCACUGCACUCCAGCCUGGGCGACAGAGCAAGACUCCAUCCCUCACCCCCCCCCCAAAAAAAAGAAAAGUGUAGGAAUAGGCUGGGCUUGGUGGCUCACAACUGUAAUUUUGGGAGGCGGAGGAGGGCGCAUUGCUUGAGCCCAGGAGUUUGAGCCCAGGAGUUUGAGACCAGCCUGUGCAACAGGGUGAAACCCUGUCUCUCCAAAAAAAAAAAAAAAAAAAAAAAAAUAGCCAGGCGUGGUGGCAAGUACCAGCUACUCAGGAGGCUGCAGUGGGAGGAUCGCUUUAGCCUGGGAAGUGGAGGUUGCCGUAAGUCCAGAUCGCGACACUGCACUCCAGCCUAGGCAACAGAGCAAGACCCAUCUCAAAAAAAAAAAAAAAAAAAAGCCAGGCGCGGUGGCUUAUGCCUAUAUUGCCAACACUUUGGGAGGCUGAGACGGGCGGAUCACUUGAAGUCAGGAGUUCGAGACCAGCCUGGCAACCAUGGCGAGACCCCGUCUCUACUAAAAAUAGAAAAAUUAGCCAGUUGCAGUGGCGUGCACCUGUAAUCCCAGCUACUCGGGAGGCUGAGGCAGGAGAAUCGGUUGAACCCAGGAGGCUGAGGUUGCAGUGAGCCGAAAUCACGCUACUGCACUCCAGCCUGGCGACAGAGUGAGACUCCGUCUCAAAAAAAAAAAAAAAGUAUAGAAAGUGUUAAAACUGAAAUUUUGAAUAAACCUCAUCAUUGUGAGAAUAUAAAUGCAAAAAAAAAGGUAAAAUGCUAGUGCCUUUGAAAGCAAAAUUCAGACAUACUUGCAUAGCUUAAGGUAAAUUGAUGUAUGAGAGUUAUUUGUAAUUAGAUAUUUGUGUAUAUAUAUAUUUUUGAGACAGUUUCGCUCUUCUUGCCUAGGCUGGAGUGCAAUGGCGCGAUCUCCUCUCACUGCAACCUCCACCUCCCGGGUUCAAACGAUUCUGCUGCCUCAGCCUCCCGAGUAGCUGGGAUUACAGGCAUGUGCCACCACACCCGGCUAAUUUUUGUAUUUUUAGUAGAGACGGGGCUUCUGUAUGUUGGUCAGGCUGGUCUCUUAACUCCUGACCUCAGGUGAUCUGCCCACCUCAGCCUCCCAAAGUGCUGGGAUUACAGGCAUGAGCCACUGUGCCCAGCCUAGAUAUCUGUAUAUUUGAAGACUGGGCUGAAUUUGUCUUCUAAAACAUACUUUUUCUGAUGAUAAAUGCAUUUAUAGUCUUUCCAAGAUUCAUUUUCUAAAUAUCAUUUUUCUAAUACUAGGGGAAAUAAGAUUUUCAUAGCUGAAUCCCUCUUUAAGAAGAGGGUCUGGGCUGGGCGCAGUGGCUCAUGCCUGUAAUCCCAGCACUUUGGGAGGCCGAGGCGGGCGGAUCACCUGAGGUCGUGAGUUCGAGAGCACCCUGACCAACAUGGAGAAACUACGUCUCUACUAAAAAUACAAAAUUAGCUGGGGGUGGUGGCACAUGCCUGUAAUCCCAGCUACUAGGGAGGCUGAGGCAGGAGAAUCGCUUGAACCUGGGAGGCAGAGGUUGCGGUGAGCCAAGAUUGCACCAUUGCACUCCAGCCUGGGCAACAAGAGCGAAACUCCGUCUCAAAAAAAAAAAAAAAUAAAGAAAAAGGGUCUAAUAUCAGAGAUAAUCACUGCUGCAUCUUACAGUUCAGUCAAAAUGAGGCUUCAGCUCUGCACUGUAAAGCCAGAGGGCACUGUUGCUGCCUUUCCAAGCAGCUGUUUUUCUGGGGCUGCUGCAUGACGUCAUAGCAGAAGAAAAAAACACGAAGAAAACUAUUUCAAAAUAAAUGUUUAAUAUAAUUUUUAGACCAAAGAAAAACUCAAUCAUACAUUGUCUCCAGUGGACCAUAUGUGCCAGAACAGGACCAACUCAGUCCAGCUUUGAAGGCCCUGAUUCAGUCCUACUGGUAUAAUCUCCCUUGAUUUAUUGAUUUGUGUAUGCUUCUUAUGCAAUACAAGGUGCAUUUUACUCUUGAAGUCCCUAUCACCUCCACCAUCGCCAUUUAACUGCAAAAGCAUGCUUCCUAAUGGGAGGGUUUUCUUCCCCCUUCCCUGCAGAGGUUCUGAACCUUCAAGGAGUUUGACAAUCUUAUGAAUCUCUUGAACCUUCUCCCCAGAAAAAUGUACAUACAAGUCUACAAAUAAUUUCAUGGGGUUCAUGGACCCCAAGGCCCACAAUGGUUUCUAAGGCCCCAAAUUAAGGAACCUCUGUGCUAGUGAUUUGAGCAACGCAAUUGCCCUCAGAAGACACUGACACAGGGCAGGUGAAGGACUGGGUUAACCAAAAUGACAGGAGGCAAUCUCAUAAUUUCUGUUUUUAUUUUGGGGCAAAAUUUAGUUCUCAGGGCCUCCCUACGUUUAAGAGCAGAACUACUCAAGAACCUAAGCAGCUAUCAGCAUAGUUUAAGCGAUUUAGAAUAGGGCUGUGCAAGGGGAUGUACAGGGUUCCUCAUUCAGCUGAGGACCUCAUUUAGCUCCUUAACUGGAAGCUUUACAUUUGAUCUGCAGUGAGGGGACAUUUCUAAUUUUAGUUUGACCCACAUGGAAAGGUGGAUAGCUUUUUUUUUUUGUUUUGGUAUAGAGAGCACGUAGAAUUGGACAAUUAGGUAAAUCCUUGGAAUCCCCCAAACAGCCAUUUGCUUUAUAAAUCCAGUAUUUCUUACCUCUGAACGUCUUAAAGAGCUGCCUCACAAAUUAAUCUAACCAUUGCUUGCACUAAGAAGUUUGCCAAGAGCCUCUUCCAGCCUUACUGGGGGGAAGGAAGAGAUUACUGAAAACCAACUUGUAGGAAUGAAAUGAGGCUGUCAGUUGUCUAACCUAACAAACUGCCAAAUUAGGUUUACAUUUUUUGUUAUUAGACUUUUGAAUGGCCGAGGCAGAGUUAAAUUUAAAAUUUUGGAUUGUAGCCACUUUCCACUCGCCUAAACACUCAAUACCGGUUUGUUUAUUUUUCCAGCAUCAAGAAAGAAAACCAAGGCACUAGAAAGCAAGCACACUUAAGUAUUGAAGAUAAUUACAUCUUAAAUUUUGCCUGAACUGUAUAUUGUAGCAUACUUAAACCCAUUCAAGGAAAAAAUUGGCAAAUUGAAAAUUCUCCCAUUAAAGAUUGAUAUUUUUGCAAACUGACAAAUUUAACGAUUUCGGUACCCCUCCCCAAAAAUGCAGUCACAUAAAAUAUAUCAAUACUAUUUUGAAUUAGCUCUAGAAAUCACACUGAAACUAUGUUACAUUUACAAAUAUUAAAUUUAUUAUAACUAAAAUGAAUUUAAUUGUUCUCAGAUUUGGCCACCUUAUAGCUCCGUUUAAGGAGGGGAUUUGUUAAAAACAAAAAUGCAUUAUAACUUGGUCAAAUUACUUUCACAUUAAGGAAAAAAACUUCUAAAAAGGAAAACAAGAAAAGCAACUCUUCAGUUUCACAUAAUUAAAAGAACAGGAGAAAGCACGCAAGCUACAUAUAGCUAAAUUUACGAAACCAAAGCCAGGGGGAUUUCUCUUCUGAUUAUGUGUCAUAAAAAGGUCCACUGUCUUAUAUACACAUGUAUAUAAUGUUACAUUCCAUCACUGUAAAAAGUCCCCUUUGCCCCCUCCCCCAAAAAAGUUUCAGUCUAGUCUCCAAACUUGGAAAGCGGCGCUCGCUCCUGCUGCCGGUGCAGUUCGUUCUCGGUCAGCAGCUGGAGGUUCUCGGCGCGCAGCCGGUCCAGCUCCAGCUCCAGCUCCCGCACACGCGCGUCGUCGCCACCCAGCCGCUUGCUCUCCAGCCGCAGCCGGUUGUUCUCGUCCUCCAUGCGCGAGAGGCACUUCUCCAGUUCCAGGUACUCCUUGAUGAGCUCCUGCUUGCUCAUGUUCUGCAGGCUCUCCGUGUGGUACCGCUCGUACGUCUCCGAGAAGUCCCGCUGCAGAAACUCGCUGCCGUCCCCUCCCAUCCCAUCGCUGCCCCCAUCCUCCUCACCCCCUUCUUCCAUGAAGUCGUCAUCGCUGGUGUCGUCGGAUUUGGCGGCGGCCCGCUUGGAGUACAGGCCGGUUUUGAGAUCCGGCUCCUCCUGGUCGUGAUCAUCCAUGAGGAACUGCGUGGUGUUAUAGGGCGCGACCGGCUGGCCCUUGGCGAACAUCUCGGCUCGGAUCCUUGAAGCUCGAAGGCUCUGUUUCUCGUCGAACUUUUUCUUCUCUUCCCAGGUCAGCUUGUAGUACGGUUUCCAAUGCCGCUUCUUCUUGGACGGGCGUCUCCUAUGUUUUUUCUUCCCCAGCUGUCUCUGCUGCUGUCCCCACUCCUCUUCGCCCCCUGCGGCAGGAGCCCCCAACUUACUGGCCUCGGAGUCAUGACAAGGCUGGGCGAGCAGCUCGGCCUCGGGCGUCGGUUCCACUUCUGCCGGCGGCGGGAAGUCGCCGCCAGCGGACGAGUCGUCCCCAUUCUGGCCCUUCUCGCCCUCUCUCAGGCAGCUAGAUUCUGGACAGGCCUGGGUCUGCAAGGGAGGUGGUUGGGAUUCCAGGCUCCCUUCCCCCUCCGGCCCCGGACGGCCACCCAACUGGGGGAACGCUCUCGAUUGCCACCUACUGUCCUCCUCGGGCACCCGCUCCUCCGCGCCUGGGGGGCGCUCAGGGUUCAGCUCUUCCUGGACAGCAGCAGCACCUGUACAGUUGCUAGUUUGAGGCUGGUGUUGAUAUUCUGACAAGAAUGGCUCGGCCAUGGCUAGUAGAGUCCUCGAAGUUUAAGAAAUUUUGGCUAGUAAGUCCUUAAGGAAAAAAAUGGGUUUUUCUUAAAAAAAAGAAAAAGAAAAAAAAAACAGUCCAACAGAGUCCUCUUCAGUUUGUAAUUCCUGCAGUGACGCCUUUAGCUAGUCCUUCUAUCAGCAAACUCCAACUGCAAUCUGGGGAGCUCAAGUCAGUAAAGGGUUAAGCGCCCACAGUGCGGCCAGCUAGCGGGUCCAAGGGGGUGCAGCGGCAGGAACAGUACGUAAUGGGCGGAGGUGGGCCUCAAACCUCCAAGCGGAGCACCCCAAUAAAGGAGUUGGUGAGCAAGGUGAUGAGGGUAAGUCCAGUGCGUGAAACCCAGCCCCGAAGGGGUUAAAACUACCGAUGACGCUGCCUCCGAGGGGCCAGAUCCACAAAGGGUUAAAUCCCCUGCCGCAGAGCCCACAAGGGGUUAAAGUCCCGGCGCCACCUCCUCCCACUUCCACGGGUGUCGCUUCCACCCAAGCUCCCAGUUCCCUAGGCCCGGCCGUAGCCUCAGCAGAGGACAGACAAACUCAUCUCCCCUUUGGCUCGAUGCUCUGCUCUGCUCAGUUCUCCUCCGCCUCCUCCUCUUUUCCUCCCUCCCUCCUCCCCCUUCCCACAGCUCCUCUUCCGCGUCCUCCCCCGACUUUCCCUCCCAACCUGCCUCUCCACCUGCCAACUUCCAACUGCUGUCUCCCAGUCCUCUGCGCCCCUUUUAUAUAGAAGCUUUUUCGCCCCGCCCGUGCGCAUGCGUAACGGAGUUCCCUUUGCGGGGCGCCGGGAGUCGUAGUUCUUAUCUUUCGGGCCCGCCGCCCUCGCGCGCCGUGCGACGUAGCCAAUCCCAGGACGCGUAGGGGGCGUCUCCCUGGCCGCCACCUUCCAUCGCUUAGACCUCGCUAAAGAAACGCGAGCGGCCAUUGGUGAAAAAUCACACGACUCGCUGAGGAAGGACGGCCAAUCGCAGAGAAGAUGGGGCGGGUUCUGGACCGUACCAUUCUGUUUCAGGAAUACGAGAAGAUUCGAUGGCCUAUGAGAGUCCUCACAGAAUAUUUUUAUGAAAAGGUGCGUUAUAAAGGCUAUUAUCGUAUUUUGUUCUCAGCGGAGGGGUUCCGAAGGUUAUGAACCUUUAUUAACUAACGCAAGAAUGGUUUAUUCCUAAAAAGUAGUCCCUAAAAUGUAAAAGAAUUAAAUCCUAUAAAGAGAGACGUCGGCCCACGGCUGCUAACUCGCGAGUCUUAAGAUUAUAGAAAUGGCUUCAAGGCGGGUGGUGAGUGCCUGAGACUGACACUUGCGGAAGGAUAUCGCGAGCACAUUUUGUAAAGACCGAAGAGCGCAUGAAGAAGUAAACAAAUGAAGAAUAAAAAGUGCCGCCUUAAAGGGACAGUGUGACUGCGUUUAGCGCCGCAGGCUCGCACUAGGCCUCGGAAGACGAAGAGGCGGGUUCGAGUCCCGGUGACGCGACUCCCGGACUGACCUCGGUACCCUUAGCUGAAGGUGGCGGAGUCCCAGCCCCAGCCUGGUCUCAGAAAGCCGCCCCCGCCCCAGGGGCAAAUGCAAACUGGUGAUUCGCGACCAAGGCUCUUCCCUGGGCCGAGAUCGGAAAGCCGGGGCCGGGGGCGGGCGGGGGAGUGGAGGGGGAAGCGGGGGAAGGCCACGCCCCCACGCCUCAGCUUCUGUCGAAGAAAAUGGCCUCCUGGGGCCGAUUUGGUCUUUUCACUUCCGACCGAGAUCAUUUCCUGAGCCGGGACAGAGGAGGUCCGGGACAGCCAUGAGGCUGUUUGUUGGGAAGAGUUCGGAAUGAUUAAUGAGUUGAAAUCAUCAGCCCUGGCUAUCCGAGAGGGAAGCAGGUCUCACCCGCAGAGGCCCUUCCUCAUCAGUGGGCGCUGGGCAAGACUGGGAGGGAAGCAUGGAGGAGGCCUUGCUCCGAAACUUGCUGCAGGGGAUUCUGGCGCAGGGCUGGGGGGGCCGAUUCCCCCGGGGGCGUAGUUUCUCAGAGAGAAAUUCUCUAGACCCAAGCCCCCAGCCCUCCAUAAACAGGGACUGAGAGGACCCAGAGAACCCUCCAUACCAGUCACUGAGGCCUAAAAUCUUGGCGCCCUUUCCACUUCUCCUUCGCCACACACCCAGUGACCCUUUCUUCUUAUUGCUUCCUUAAUAGCAUCCCUGACAUUCCAGCACGUUUGCACUGUGUACCUUUUACGCACAGAGCCAUGUGACCUCACCACAGCCUGGCAAGUUAGACACGAUAGGAAUGAGUGUCUCCAUUUUACAGAUAAGGCAUCUCUAAGACACUGGAAAAUAAGUGACUUGUCCAAGGUCACAUGACAACCAUGGGGCAGUUCUGGCUAGAGCGCUGGUCUUUGUGACCCCCCCCGUGCCAUUUUUCUUUCUGUCACAAACACAAAACCCAUUUUUUCUUAAAAUCGGGGAAUACUCUGGAUUUCGUUCUUUUUAUUCCCAACAACUUCAACCUUAUUCAGCCCCUAUAUCACUUGGCAAACAGGAGGGUACAAAGAGGGGUGGGAUGCCAUUCUUGCCUUCAAGUUGCUCCUGGACUGUGGAGAGGCCAUCAGACCACAGCCAGCCUAAAUGGCAAGUGAGGGAAAUCCUGGUGGGAGCUGAUGAGCCGAGUGCAUGGGAGCUGGGAAUUAUGGACAAGUGUCAGGAGCAAGUGACUUCCUGGCUGGCUCUGAAGGAUGAAGAGCUUUCAGGCAAAGUGGCACGAAGAGGGGCAUUUUAGGAAGCCCAAGCAUCAUGUGCCAGGAAAGGGCUAGUCUGGGACUUCGGUGGCUCUGGGCAGUGUGAGAUAUCGGGGGUGGGGGCCAGUGGUGAUGGGCAUGGCCAAUGUAGAUGCCUCUAAGGGGAGCCGCAAGCACGCGGGCCUCUGGGCACAGCUAUAUGUUCUGAAAAUGAACACCUUCAUUUGUUUUCUCUGGGCUUCCAAGAAUUCGGGUCCACCUGAAAAGUUCGCCACUCCGUGUGGCUUCAUCCCUUAGGAGGCUUCCUGAGAGCAAGAACUGCCCCUCAGAGCACUCCUGGAGGAAAAAGGGAUUUUGCAGAUAACUUGGUUAUCACAGAGAGUUAUCACAGAGACCUCCAAAUUGUUACCCCAUCUUCAGACUCCAGAGGAUUCUGGGGUACCCCCAGUCAGGGCAUUUGGAAGGCACUGCUGAGCCUAGCCUCAGUGUCCUGGACUGGGCUCCACUGUAUGGUCUCGUGUUCUAUUGGGGGAGAGGUGGACUGACGAAUAGGUUGUGGAAUUCUAGAAUUCUGUCAAGGGGCCAGGCAACCUUACUGUUAGCUGGGUUCUAACCCUUUGCCAGGCAUUUAACAUGCCCCAUCACUGGUAAACCCCAGGACUGCCUUAUGAAAAAGAGAUCAACUCUAUUUCACAAAAGAGGCCACCCAAGGCCAGAGCAGUUAAGAAUCUUCCCCAAGGGGGCCGGGCGCGGUGGCUCACGCCUGUAAUCCUAGCACUUUGGGAGGCCGAGGUGGGCGGAUCACGAGGUCAGGAGAUCGAGACCAUCCUGGCUAACAUGGUGAAACCCCAUCUCUACUAAAAAUACAAAAAAUUAGCCGGGCGUGGUGGCCCCCGCCUGUAGUCCCAGCUACUUCCGGGAGGCUGAGGCAGGAGAAUCGCUUGAAUCUGGGAGGCGGAGGUUGCAAUGAGCCGAGAUCGCGCCACUGCACUCCAGCCUGACAACAAAGCGAGACUCGGUCUCAAAAAAAAAAAAAAAAAAAAAAUAUCUUACCCAAGUUCCACAGCUACUGUGCAAGUGGUGGAGCUGGCUUCAGCUCCAGGCCUGCAUCCCCCACCAAGGUGGCCCUGCUGUUGUCUGUCCUGCUUGCUGCAGUCCAGCCUUAUCACAGGGGCUAUUCAGCCUGUGCUUGUGACCCUGGGCUGAGCCGUGCAGGUGCAGAGCGCACCGUCUAGCCUCAGGGAUGCCUUCCCGGCUUUGAGAGGACUGACGACUAAAGAGUGACUGUGGCUUCCAGUGGGGCCAAUGAUGGCGAAGCCUGGGACGGUGGUCGAGACUAGAGGCUGACAGGGAACUCAGGAGUUUAAGGAUCUCAGCCAGGGGCCUUCAGAACUGCCUCUUCCUUACCCAGGGGUAGGAAGGUCCUAGGGCCCAGGUGGUGGCAGCGGCGGGGGACUGCGGUAGAGACCCUGGCCAGUGGACUUGGAGGCGCUGGCACCAGGCGGCCCUCAGAGCGGCCAGUUUCGCCACUGAAUACAGGCCGGACCGAGGCUUGAGCCAAGACGGCCCACGGACGACAGGGCUUGUGCUGGACAGAGGGAGGCCAAGGCUUCUGGCCCGUACCCCCCGACGGCGACUGCACGCGGGCGCUCGGCCCACCCCGACAGGGGCUUCCAGGCGCGCAGGGCCCUGCUCCCUACUCAGGGCGGGGCGAGGACGAGGCUCUCGCUGGGCCUUGGCCUCCCAGAAAAUCCCCUGGGAAGGCCCAGGCCCGGAGGUCAAGGUGGGGCACCGGGAACUGAGGCAGCUGAGGAGG